CCAUUUAGUCGCUUGUGCAGUGCAAUUUACAUCUACAGAGUGAAAAAUGAAGGUGAUUGUACGGACACCACCUCAUGAAUCGGAACUGGAGGCUCAGCCCAAAAUCUCCACCAGGGAGAUUUUCCAGACCAUGUGCAAGUCAUUGGGCGUGCAGGAAACCUGGUGGUUUGGGCUGAUGUACAAAGGACCAGACAAUGAAGAUGUCUGGAUA
rnacentral:lncRNA from 1 species